rnacentral:lncRNA from 1 species
UAAACCCUAAACCCUAAACUCUAAACCCUAAACCCUAAACCCUAAACUUUAAACCCUAAACCCUAAACUCUAAACUCUAAACCCUAAACCCUAAACCCUAAACUUUAAACCCUAAACCCUAAACUCUAAACUCUAAACCCUAAACCCUAAACCCUAAACUCUAAACCCUAAACUCUAAACCCUAAAUCCUAAACCCCACA